UCUAUUGUUAAAAUCUAUUUUACAAUCAUUACUUUUAAAGCUGAAAAUGACUUGAAAUGAACAAAUCAACCAAAUCAAUUGGUCAAUUAAUAAUUUGAAUUUAACUGGCAUUACAAACAAUUCAUGCUUACAAAUGUAAAUGUCAUUAAACAACGAGCGAUUGAUUAUAAUGCUGAACAAUACUUUCCUUCCUCUACCGACAGCCAACGUCUUCUCUCUGCGGAAUUCACCAAGCGUUGGAUUGUUCACCCACUAAUAGGGAACGUGAGCUGGGUUUAGACCGUCAUGAGACAGCACACGGGGGCUGAAUGCUGUGGAGGAGCUGCCAUCUAGCUGAGAGCACAGUCUGCUUCAACCGUCACUUUGAAUGUCUUCGGUCUCCUUCUCUGCACCGGAUGCAGCCUCCAAAAAGCUGAGACCGUCAAUAGAACGGAGCUGUUGAUGGUUCAACACCUGAGCCAGAGGCGGCGACGGUCCCGGUCUCUGAAGCUGCUCACUUUAGUGUCUUUAGCUUUUACAGUUUCCAACGAACAAAAACAACUUUUAUUUUUGAAACUAUCGCCUGAUUUUUGCAGCUGUAAUGUGAAAGUCUGAAAAUGACGUAAUAAAACACACUAAAGGUCAACUCCUGUUUGGCCAAUUUCUAAGUAAAAAUUAGAGGGAAAA